GAACGCUGGCGGCGUGCCUAAUACAUGCAAGUUGAGCGCUGAAGGUUGGUACUUGUACCAACUGGAUGAGCAGCGAACGGGUGAGUAACGCGUGGGGAAUCUGCCUUUGAGCGGGGGACAACAUUUGGAAACGAAUGCUAAUACCGCAUAAAAACUUUAAACACAAGUUUUAAGUUUGAAAGAUGCAAUUGCAUCACUCAAAGAUGAUCCCGCGUUGUAUUAGCUAGUUGGUGAGGUAAAGGCUCACCAAGGCGAUGAUACAUAGCCGACCUGAGAGGGUGAUCGGCCACAUUGGGACUGAGACACGGCCCAAACUCCUACGGGGGGCAGCAGUAGGGAAUCUUCGGCAAUGGACGAAAGUCUGACCGAGCAACGCCGCGUGAGUGAAGAAGGUUUUCGGAUCGUAAAACUCUGUUGGUAGAGAAGAACGUUGGUGAGAGUGGAAAGCUCAUCAAGUGACGGUAACUACCCAGAAAGGGACGGCUAACUACGUG
rnacentral:rRNA from 1 species